AACAACUUCACGUGGUAUUUCACCAUGAAAUGGGGUUUAGGAGGCGGUCCUCGCCCGGCAAGCCGCCGCCGCCGCCGCUUCUUCCCCUCCGCCGUCGCUUCCGUCCUGGUCAGAUCUCCCAAACCUCGUUUCCUCGUGGAAUAUCUUGUGAGCUCGUGCAGUUUUUCCCAGCUGACGGCGUCCAAAAUCCAUAAAACCCCUCGCCAGAUUCGAGGAAACAAGACUUAAACAAUUCUGGGAAGUUUUAGAGAUCUCACGGUCUCCAUGGCUUGCAAUCUUGGAAUUCUUUUUGGAUCUGCUUCUGAACUUCACGGGAUCUGGAUCUCAAUCUCAGGUUUCACCAAAUCCAGAUGAUGGAUAAUCUAUCUGGAUAUACCAAUAUCUGUCGUCUGAUGUGAAUCUCGACAUGGAGGAUGCCACCGUGGCUUCCAGCAUGCUUCUUCCAAGACUAAUUCACAGAUUUGUUGAUCAUGCUGGGAUUUAACAGAACCGAACUUGCGUGAGUUCAUUUCCAUGCAACUUGAGAUUUAUGGGCAUAUUGUACGAUGAUCAACAUGAAAAGGAGUGCUUAAAACCCACUUAAAACUUAUUUGGCAUCCUUGAACAUAGACAAUACAGUAGGCAUGUUCAUUACUGUUAACAGGUUUCAGAGAUCCUGACUCCAAUUGCAGAAUCUAACACUAACACAACAUGACAUUUAAACAUGAUAAUGGAUAAAUUGUGUAUAGAUUUAAGAGAUUUAAGAUUACUCAGGAAAAAUGUUCAACAAGGAAUGUAUGUUGUGAUAAUAGUGAUUCAGGUUCCCAAAUUAUUCUUGUUCUUCUCAGAUGGCUCUUGAUAGAAGAUUUCUCCAUUGUUCUUGUUCCUCUCAGAUGGCUCUUGAUAAAGCUUUUCUUCAAUUGCCAUUUGGUUUGGAAACAACAGGGGUUUAAUUUAAGAUUUGCUUUGGGAACAAAGCCGAAAUAAAGCCUGGAAUAUGUCUUAUGCCAAUCGAAAAAAAAUAGCUGUUGCCAUUCACUCGUGCUUUUAUUCUUUUAAAUACUCGAAUAGGGGUGGAAUAGGACUUGUUUCUAUUCCUCCUUUAUUUUGAUCGCAUUGACACAACAAACUCACAAAAUCAGUUGUAACCCUCACCCUAGAGUUAUUCCUGCCAGGAACAAGUAAUUUCAGCCCAGGAAAGCAGAAAUAACUAUUCUAGGAGGAAUAAGCGGUUUGCUCCAGCCGGUCCAAAACCUAUUCGCCGGGGACGAACCAUAUUCUAGGCCUCCCGAUGUUGCUGCCCGAGCUCUCCUCCUCCCUCCGACGCAACGGCGCCAACGCCCUCGUCGCCUUCUUCCAUGGCCGCCGGCGCCUCCUCGGAGACGUCCUCUGCCUUUUCUCCUCAACCGGUGCCGCCGCGACCCCGAAACCGCAUUUCAUGGUCGACUACCUCGUCGACUCGUGCGGGUUCUCGCCGGAGAAGGCUGCCAGAGCCUUGAAGCACGUCCGCCGCAUCGAAUCCCCCCAACAACCGGACUCCGUCUUGGAUUUCUUCAAAAGACACGGUUUUGAUGACCCCCAGAUCAAAAAGCUCGUGUCUUGGCAGCCCAGAUGGCUCUCCCUCGACGUGGAGAAGCGCCUGGCCCCAAAGUUCCGAGCUUUACGAGAACUCGGCUUCUACGAGUCCGACGUCAUCCACAUCACGCUCUCAAACGCUUCCAGCCUCAAUCUCAGGCUCCACGCCACCCUUCUCCCCAAGAUCGAGCUGUGGAGGAGUCUCCUCGGAUCGAAUGACGUCCUGAUAAAAUUCCUCAAGAGGAGACUGCGGCUUCUCUCUUGCAGCGUUGAAAAGUGUGUCCUUCCUAACCUAGCAGUCUUGCGGGACUGCGGCAUUCCAGAGAGCAAGAUCUCUGUCAUCUUGAAGCAGCAUCCAGCAGUCGUCGUGCAGAGGCCGGCUUCGCUCCAGGCUUUGAUUGAUCGCACCGAGGGGCUUGGGAUACCCCGCCACUCGGGAAUGUUCGGCUGGGCCCUUCGUAUCCUCUACAGAGUGAACGAAGCCAAGUUCAAGGCGAAGAUGGAGUUCAUGAGAAUCUUGGGCUGGUCAGAGUCGGAGUUCCUUUCUGCUUUCCGUAUGACACCCUCUAUCUUAGGCGCUUCCGAGAAGGCGCUGCAGAAAAAGAUGGAGUUUUGGGUGAAGGAAGCUGGUUGCCAACCCUCCUACCUCGCGCACCAUCCAGUGCUCUUGAUGUGUAGUUUAGAGAACAGGUUGAUCCCUCGGUAUCGGGCCAUGGAGAUUCUGAAAUCAAAAGGAUUAUGCAGUGAUGAUAAAAGUCCGUAUACCAUUAUGUGUCUCUCGGAGGAGAAUUUUAUGAAGAACUUUAUUCUCCGCCACAAGGAGGAAGUCCCUGAACUCUGUGAAAUGUAUGCCUCUUGCUGCAAUAGAGGCAGAACCCGCUAAGUUGUGCAAUUUCACAAAUUCGGAUGGUACAUAGCAUGCUUCCUAUGGGGCAAGAACUUGAAGCCAACUCAGUGCAGUUGCUGGCUCAACGGAACUCCCCAGUCUCCUUUGUCAGUGAUCCAUGCUUUUAAGAAUUUUCCUGAAGCCAUUUAUCGUCAAGAAGUCACAAUGCCUAUGUCCUAUAUAGGGAGUUCCCAGAACAUAGUGCAUGCAUCUUUGGUGCAAACGUGGCCACCAGGACUGGUCGUAUUGGAGCCAUUUUAGUUGCAAAUGUGUUGAUAUGUCCCUUCAAAUUUGCCAAUCUUAUAAAGGAUUAAGUACCCAGGUGCUCAUAUUCUAUGUACAAACAUAUCUUCUGCUAGAAACUAUAGCAGCAUUAUGUGAGCCAUUGCAUAACUUUGUACUGCAUCAUUACUGUGUCAGAAUUCUCAGGUACCGUGAUGUGUGUUCUGUAUUUAAUUCAACUCUUACUGAUGUGGUUGUAAUCCUGUCUUCUAUGCAAAUAUAACUUUGAUGUUUAUUUGUUGUUGUUUAA